GUGUCGGUGUAUAGUGGAUAAUUCACUUGACUUCAAUCCAAGUGGCGAUGGUUCGAAUCCGGCCCGGCACU
rnacentral:tRNA from 1 species